GAUGAACGCUGGCGGCGUGCCUAACACAUGCAAGUCGAGCGAUUCUCUUCGGAGAAGAGCGGCGGACGGGUGAGUAACGCGUGGGUAACCUGCCUCAUACACAUGGAUAACAUACCGAAAGGUAUGCUAAUACAGGAUAACAUAAGAGAUUCGCAUGGAUUUCUUAUCAAAGCUCCGGCGGUAUGAGAUGGACCCGCGUCUGAUUAGCUAGUUGGUAAGGUAAUGGCUUACCAAGGCGACGAUCAGUAGCCGACCUGAGAGGGUGAUCGGCCACAUUGGAACUGAGACACGGUCCAAACUCCUACGGGAGGCAGCAGUGGGGAAUAUUGCACAAUGGGCGAAAGCCUGAUGCAGCAACGCCGCGUGAGUGAUGAAGGCCUUCGGGUCGUAAAACUCUGUCCUCAAGGAAGAUAAUGACGGUACUUGAGGAGGAAGCCCCGGCUAACUACGUGCCAGCAGCCGCGGUAAUACGUAGGGGGCUAGCGUUAUCCGGAUUUACUGGGCGUAAAGGGUGCGUAGGUGGUUUCUUAAGUCAGGAGUGAAAGGCUACGGCUCAACCGUAGUAAGCUCUUGAAACUGGGAAACUUGAGUGCAGGAGAGGAAAGUGGAAUUCCUAGUGUAGCGGUGAAAUGCGUAGAUAUUAGGAGGAACACCAGUAGCGAAGGCGGCUUUCUGGACUGUAACUGACACUGAGGCACGAAAGCGUGGGGAGCAACAGGAUUAGAUACCCUGGUAGUCCAAGGGCGAAUUAAGGG
rnacentral:rRNA from 1 species